rnacentral:rRNA from 2 species
AGCCUGAUGCAGCCAUGCCGCGUGUAUGAAGAAGGCCUUCGGGUUGUAAAGUACUUUCAGCAGUGAGGAAGGGGUGUACGUUAAUAGCGUGCAUUCUUGACGUUAGCUGCAGAAGAAGCACCGGCUAACUCCGUGCCAGCAGCCGCGGUAAUACGGAGGGUGCGAGCGUUAAUCGGAAUUACUGGGCGUAAAGCGCAUGCAGGUGGUUUGUUAAGUCAGAUGUGAAAGCCCGGGGCUCAACCUCGGAAUAGCAUUUGAAACUGGCAGGCUAGAGUACUGUAGAGGGGGGUAGAAUUUCAGGUGUAGCGGUGAAAUGCGUAGAGAUCUGAAGGAAUACCAGUGGCGAAGGCGGCCCCCUGGACAGAUACUGACACUCAGAUGCGAAAGCGUGGGGAGCAAACAGGAUUAGAUACCCUGGUAGUCCACGCCGUAAACGAUGUCUACUUGGAGGUUGUGGCCUUGAGCCGUGGCUUUCGGAGCUAACGCGUUAAGUAGACCGCCUGGG